rnacentral:rRNA from 1 species
ACAAUACCGUCCGCCAGAGAACUACAAGCAAAAAACUAGAAACUCCAAGGACUUGGCGGUGCUUCACAUCAACCUAGAGGAGCCUGUCCUAUAAUCGAUACCCCACGCUAAACCUCACCAUCUUUUGCCCUUCAGCCUAUAUACCGCCGUCGUCAGCCUACCUUAUGAAAGAAAAACAGUAGGCAAAACAGUCAAUAACUAACACGUCAGGUCAAGGUGUAGCAUAUAAGAUGGAAGAGAUGGGCUACAUUUUCUACCACAGAACAUACGAAUGACACAAUGAAACACGUACCUAAAGGUGGAUUUAGCAGUAAGAUAAAAAAGCAACACUAUCUUAAACACGCUCUGAAGCGCGCACACACCG